rnacentral:rRNA from 1 species
CCUACGGGUGGCAGCAGUGAGGAAUAUUGGUCAAUGGACGAGAGUCUGAACCUGCCACGUAGCGUGAAGGAUGGCUGCCCUAUGGGUUGUAAACUUCUUUUAUAUGGGAAUAAAAUGUUCCACGUGUGGGAUUUUGUAUGUACCAUAUGAAUAAGGAUCGGCUAACUCCGUGCCAGCAGCCGCGGUAAUACGGAGGCUCCGAGCGUUAUCCGGAUUUAUUGGGUUUAAAGGGAGCGUAGGUGGAUUGUUAAGUCAGUUGUGAAAGUUUGCGGCUCAACCGUAAAAUUGCAGUUGAAACUGGCAGUCUUGAGUACAGGAGAGGUGGGCGGAAUUCGUGGUGUAGCGGUGAAAUGCUUAGAUAUCACGAAGAACUCCGAUUGCGAAGGCAGUUCACUGGACUGCAACUGACACUGAGGCUCGAAAGUGUGGGUAUCAAACAGGAUUAGAUACCCGUGUAGUC